CAGGUGUGACUGCUCAACCUAUGGGCUUGACGGAAAAUUCAAAUCGCGAACCGUUACUGCCUGGACUACUCCGUCUCUUAUUUGUUUGUUUGCUCAUUAACAGUAAGAGGUCAUGUACACUGUGGUCAACUUUGUGGACGAUGAAGAGGUUUCUGGGUAAAGAUGAUAGAAAUAUAAUGAAGUAACAGUGAAAGCUAAAACAUCAGACUGAUCCAGACACUGAAGAAAUUGAUGUCACUGCAAUCUGGCCAAAAUGAUACAACUAUAUUGAAGUAGCCUACUGUAAUGAAGCUGCAGAACAACACAGAGACUCUUGAGGACAUCAACACAGAAAAUGAAGGCUCCAAAAAGAUGUCUGUCCAGAUGAGGGUGCAUCAAUGUUACGUUUGCUGACAAGUAUAUGCUUUACAAUGUAAAACCUAACAGUUAACUUAACUCAAACCAUUUAAGGAAAUCGGUUGCCUUAACCCAUUAAGUUUUAAAAAACAUACAUUUG